rnacentral:rRNA from 1 species
CACCGCGGUUACACGAAUAACUAAAACAGAUAAAACCGGCACAAAGGGUGGUUAAUAUGAUACAGAAUAAAGUUAAACAUACUACCAGAUGUAUAAACCUAAACAGUAUAUGAAGUCCUUUCCAUAAUGAAACUUUAUCCUCUUGACCCCACGUAAGCUAUCACA